GAGACGCUGGCGGCAUGCCUAAUACAUGCAAGUCGAACGCUGAAGCACUCUGCUUGCAGAGUGCGGAUGAGUGGCGAACGGGUGAGUAACACGUGGGAAAUCUGCCUAGGAUGGGGGAUAACAUUCGGAACGGAUGCUAAUACCGCAUAUCUUUUUUGAACCGCAUGGUUCUUAAACGAAAGACGGCUUCGGCUGUCGCUCUUAGAUGAUCCCGCGGCGUAUUAGUUAGUUGGUGGGGUAAAGGCCUACCAAGACCAUGAUACGUAGCCGAACUGAGAGGUUGAUCGGCCACAUUGGGACUGAGACACGGCCCAGACUCCUACGGGAGGCAGCAGUGGGGAAUAUUGCACAAUGGGGGAAACCCUGAUGCAGCGACGCCGCGUGGAGGAAGAAGGUCUUCGGAUUGUAAACUCCUGUUGUUGAGGAAGAUAAUGACGGUACUCAACAAGGAAGUGACGGCUAACUACGUG
rnacentral:rRNA from 1 species